GAUGAAGAACGAAGCGAAAUGCGAUAAGUAGUGUGAAUUGCAGAAUUCAGUGAAUCAUCGAAUCUUUGAACGCACAUUGCGGCCAUAGGUAUUCCUUUGGCCAUGCCUGUUCGAGCGUCAUUUACACCCUCAAGCCUAGCUUGGUGUUGGGCGUCUGUCCCGCCGUUCUCGCGCGCGGACUCGCCUCAAAGUCAUUGGCGGCGGUCGUGCCGGCCCCCUCGCGCAGCACAUUUGCGCUUCUCGGAGGCCCGGCGGAGCCGCGCUCCAGCAAGACCUUUCACGACUUGACCUCGGAUCAGGCAGGGAUACCCGCUGAACUUAAGCAUAUCAAUAAGCGGAGGA
rnacentral:misc_RNA from 1 species